rnacentral:rRNA from 1 species
CACGUAGGGUGCGAGCGUUGUCCGGAAUUAUUGGGCGUAAAGAGCUCGUAGGCGGUGUGUCGCGUCGGCCGUGAAAACCUGCAGCUUAACUGUGGGCUUGCGGUCGAUACGGGCAUCACUGGAGUUCGGCAGGGGAGACUGGAAUUCCUGGUGUAGCGGUGAAAUGCGCAGAUAUCAGGAGGAACACCGGUGGCGAAGGCGGGUCUCCGGGCCGAUACUGACGCUGAGGAGCGAAAGCGUGGGGAGCGAACAGG